UACGAAGGGGGCUAGCGUUGCUCGGAAUUACUGGGCGUAAAGGGCGCGUAGGCGGGUCGUUAAGUUAGAGGUGAAAGCCCAGGGCUCAACCCUGGAAUUGCCUUUGAUACUGGCGGCCUUGAGUAUGGCAGAGGUGUGUGGAACUCCGAGUGUAGAGGUGAAAUUCGUAGAUAUUCGGAAGAACACCAGUGGCGAAGGCGACACACUGGCCCGAUACUGACGCUGAGGCGCGAAAGCGUGGGGAGCAAACAGG
rnacentral:rRNA from 1 species